UACGGAGGGUGCAAGCGUUGCUCGGAAUCAUUGGGCGUAAAGCGUACGCAGGCUGUUCGUUAAGUCGGGUGUGAAAGCCCGGGGCUCAACCCCGGAACUGCGCCCGAAACUGGCGAGCUUGAAUGCGGGAGAGGGAAGCGGAAUUCCUGGUGUAGAGGUGAAAUUCGUAGAUAUCAGGAGGAACACCGGUGGCGAAGGCGGCUACCUGGACAGAGUCUGACGCUGAGGAGCGAAAGUGUGGGGAGCGAACAGG
rnacentral:rRNA from 1 species